GCAACUGUGUGUUAACUUGGUGGUUUUCAAGACUUCAGCGAGAUUCACAUUGCCGUUUUUUUCCUUUUUUUCAAAGUAUAUGAGUUCCAUUUCAAUUUAUUUUUAUUUGAGCUUGCAAUUUUUUAACAUCAACAGGAAAAUUCAAAGACAGAUCAGAGCCUUAUUCAAGUAUCAGUAAUAUUAUCUAAGUUUUUCUUCAUCAUAAACAUGUUUAUCAACAAAAAUGUGUC
rnacentral:lncRNA from 1 species